CCAAAAACAUCACCUCUAGCAUUACUAGUAUUAGAGGCACUGCCUGCCCAGUGACACGAGUUAAACGGCCGCGGUAUUCUGACCGUGCAAAGGUAGCAUAAUCAUUUGUUCUAUAAAUAAGGACUUGUAUGAAUGGCCACACGAGGGUUCUACUGUCUCUUACUUCCAAUCGGUGAAAUUGACCUUCCCGUGAAGAGGCGGGAAUAUAACAAUAAGACGAGAAGACCCUAUGGAGCUUUAAUUAACUAACCCAAUAGAAUUUAUUCAAUUAACCAAUAUGGGACAAAGUAAUUCUACAGUGGGACAGCAAUUUAGGUUGGGGCGACCUCGGAGUAUAGCACAACCCCCGAGUGAUAUAAAUCUAGACAUACCUGUCAAAACGAACUAUCAUAAAUUGAUCCAAAAAUUUUUGAUCAACGGAACAAGUUACCCUAGGGAUAACAGCGCAAUCCUAUUCAAGAGUUCAUAUCGACAAUAGGGUUUACGACCUCGAUGUUGGAUCAGGACAUCCCAAUGGUGCAGCAGCUAUUAAAGGUUCGUUUGUUCAACGAUUAAAGUCCUACGUGAUCUGAGUUCAGACCGGAGUAAUCCAGGUCGGUUUCUAUCUAUUAACCAGUCUCUCCCAGUACGAAAGGACAAGAGAGACAAGGCCCACUUCGACGAAGCGCCUUAGGACUAAUAUAUGACAUAAUCUUAAUAUAACCAGUUCAACUACACUAUUUAACCCGAGAACAGGGUUU
rnacentral:rRNA from 1 species